rnacentral:rRNA from 1 species
AUUGAACGCUGGCGGCAGGCCUAACACAUGCAAGUCGAGCGGAUGAAGGGAGCUUGCUCCUGGAUUCAGCGGCGGACGGGUGAGUAAUGCCUAGGAAUCUGCCUGGUAGUGGGGGAUAACGUCCGUAAACGGGCGCUAAUACCGCAUACGUCCUGAGGGAGAAAGUGGGGGAUCUUCGGACCUCACGCUAUCAGAUGAUCCUAGGUCGGAUUAGCUAGUUGGUGGGGUAAAGGCCUACCAAGGCGACGAUCCGUAACUGGUCUGAGAGGAUGAUCAGUCACAAUGGAACUGAGACACGGUCCAGACUCCUACGGGAGGCAGCAGUGGGGAAUAUUGGACAAUGGGCGAAAGCCUGAUCCAGCCAUGCCGCGUGUGUGAAGAAGGUAUUCGGAUUGUAAAGCACUUUAAGUUGGGAGGAAGGGCAGUAAGUUAAUAACUUGCUGUUUUGACGUUACCAACAGAAUAAGCACCGGCUAACUUCGUG